rnacentral:rRNA from 1 species
CAGCCGCCGCGGUAAUACCGAUGGUGCGAGCGUUAAUCGGAUUUACUGGGCGUAAAGCGUGCGUAGGCGGCUUUUUAAGUCGGAUGUGAAAUCCCUGAGCUUAACUUAGGAAUUGCAUUCGAUACUGGGAAGCUAGAGUAUGGGAGAGGAUGGUAGAAUUCCAGGUGUAGCGGUGAAAUGCGUAGAGAUCUGGAGGAAUACCGAUGGCGAAGGCAGCCAUCUGGCCUAAUACUGACGCUGAGGUACGAAAGCAUGGGGAGCAAACAGGAUUAGAGACCCCAGUAGUCCCUGUCUCUUAUAC